rnacentral:rRNA from 1 species
AGUGAACGCUGGCGGUAGGCCUAACACAUGCAAGUCGAACGGCAGCACAGUAAGAGCUUGCUCUUACGGGUGGCGAGUGGCGGACGGGUGAGGAAUACAUCGGAAUCUACUUUUUCGUGGGGGAUAACGUAGGGAAACUUACGCUAAUACCGCAUACGACCUACGGGUGAAAGCAGGGAAUCUUCGGACCUUGCGCGAUUGAAUGAGCCGAUGCCGGAUUAGCUAGUUGGCGGGGUAAAGGCCCACCAAGGCGACGAUCCGUAGCUGGUCUGAGAGGAUGAUCAGCCACACUGGAACUGAGACACGGUCCAGACUCCUACGGGAGGCAGCAGUGGGGAAUAUUGGACAAUGGGCGCAAGCCUGAUCCAGCCAUACCGCGUGGGUGAAGAAGGCCUUCGGGUUGUAAAGCCCUUUUGUUGGGAAAGAAAAGCAGCAGGUUAAUACCCCGCUGUUCUGACGGUACCCAAAGAAUAAGCACCGGCUAACUUCGUG